UACAGAGGUCUCAAGCGUUGUUCGGAUUCAUUGGGCGUAAAGGGUGCGUAGGUGGCGCUGUAAGUCGGGUGUGAAAUUUCGGAGCUUAACUCCGAAACUGCAUUCGAUACUGCGGUGCUUGAGGACUGGAGAGGAGACUGGAAUUUACGGUGUAGCGGUGAAAUGCGUAGAUAUCGUAAGGAAGACCAGUGGCGAAGGCGGGUCUCUGGACAGUUCCUGACACUGAGACACGAAGGCCAGGGGAGCAAACGGG
rnacentral:rRNA from 1 species